CUUCAUUCAUUUGGUCCAAGAAAGAUUAUUAUAAUUUCUAUUUAGCCAGUUAAUGUGAUCUAUAAGUUUUUGCUUACAGGUGAUUCCAUGAAAAUGUCUGGAUUGGCACUUAUUUUAUGGCUAAUUUAAUCUGCAGUUUAAGACCACUGUUGUGACUAGAAUGGAUUGACUAAGAACAAGAGAGAAUAAGGUCCCUUUUGUUUUUUUAAAGGAGGAAAUUGAGGCCCACAGAAGACAUGUGACUUGUUCAGGUAUAGAAAUGAUCAGUCUUCCAAAACAUGAUCAAAGCUGUCUCCAUCCUCUAUACCACAGCUGUCUCCUAAUGGAGCAUAUAAAACUUGGGAGUCAGUUGCUACUAACACUCCUAGGCUAUUAUUAAACCUGACCCUCACACCAUGUCCAAUAGAAAACUAAAUCAGCGGCUGGCCAUUGAAAAGCUAGGUCUAAUGUGAUGGAUUAGGUUACAACAGUCUCAAGUACCCAGGGAAGAGAGCAGAACAUCUGAAAGCAACCAGCUGCAGGGUCAGAGCUGCAAAGUAUACAGAACUGUCACAAAAGCUACUUUUUGCUUAGAACAGUCUUCUAGGCUUCCUGCCACCUCAGAGCAAUGUUUUUUAAAGAAGGUAGGGAUUUAAUAAGUCGUUUAUCUGAUUUCCUUUGCCAACCAAAAGUUCUUCCCAGUUUAUAAGGGAUGGGAUGGUAAACUGAGAACAAAGGGCAAAGCCGACCAUGACAAAUGACAAAAAAUAGUAAAGGUUGAAGAAUCACUUAAUGCAAAAGCCUCUGGAAAAAACGGUUUCCAAGGGUAUUGAGAAGGUGUGCAAAUGCCGUUUAUAAUGAAAACCUAAGAAAUCAAAGAAAAUCUAAAUUUUUGUUUAAUACAAAUAUGAAAAUGUGUUGAUAUUUACUUGAGAGCUUGAUAAAAGUAAUUUUUUUUUUUAAGUUUUGGCAUUUGAAGGAUUAAGCUUCAGUAAAAUGGAAAAUUCACUAAAGUGAAACAUUCUGGUCCUUGGACUUAUUUAUGCUAAAUAAAUUAUUAUACAUAGAUACUACUUUGCCAUGAUUGACUUUGUCAGAUGGUAUAAACUACUUUCUAUAUUAUUAUUAUUAUCUGGAUGACCUCUUUUUUUCUCACAUUACUAUUAACAAGACAUCCCUUCUGUUUCAGAAGUACUGCCUUGAAUUUAAGAAAGUUGUAAAAAAAAAUGUGACAGCAAAAUGGCAUCAUGUAGAAAAAAUGUAUACUAUUGAAUUGAUAUACUUUCUAGGAUAAAGGCCAUUUAUAAUCCACUUGAUUUCUUGUCUUUUUAUUUAAAGUAAAAUAAAUAAUAAAAAGGUCAGUUCAUUUUUACUGAUUUCUACUUUCUUUUUGAUGAGUGAUUUUAUAAGGUUACAUUUGACAUCUUUCAGAAUUAUUUUUGAAAAUAUAUAGCAAUCUGAAAUUUAAAAAUCUGUUACUAUAUUUGAGUACAAUUUGAAUCUUUAGCAACAAUGUCAUCAAAAUAUUUGGUUUGACUGCCAUUUAAUCAUAAUGUAGAAAAAAGUGGUACUAAGAAAAAAGAAAUAGAACCUCUGGUCUAUGUGAAAAACAACCACAAAUCAGGGGGAAGCUCCUGAUAGUCCCCCAGCUUCAAUUCUAGUCCAAACCCACAUUAUAGGCUUUACUAAUGAAGAUUAAAUUGAUUCUCUACCAAAUUUUAUGUGGUACUGAAAAGUAGGGGAUGAGGAGAAAGGAGGAAUACUGGUUUUAUCUGUAAGAAUCCAUUAAUUGCAAUUCUUUAAAAAAAUGCUUGGUUUGGACUAAUAUAAGAUUCUAUUCAUAAACUUUAUCCUAACUUACUGGUACAACACUUUAAACUAUACCUACGUAAAUACAUUCUUCUCAAAUUUGGAAUACAUCUCCAGCAGCAAAGGAAACACACACACACACACACACACACACACACACACACACACACCAAAGACGACCAGAUCACAGAACAGUCUCUGGAAAUUAGAAAUGGAAUGGAAUUCCCCACAGUAAAUGUAUACAAGAUAUUGUUCUAAAUACGCACUGCAAUCCAACAUUUUUAUUUCUAGUACCACAUUAAAAUGAUUGAGAAAAAGGAGGCCUGCUCACUGCAGGAAGCUCUGUGACCAAAGGGCUCCAUAAAUACCCCCAUCCUCAAAGAAGGAAGAAGGGACCCCAACCAUAUAGUUACCCCUGCCAUUUGGCCCUCAGGCCAGCCUCCUUGCUGUGAUGAUUAUUUCAUGGGACUGAUCCUUAACUUAUAGAGCCACCACAGAGAGAAG
ensembl:lncRNA